rnacentral:rRNA from 1 species
UACGAAGGGGGCUAGCGUUGCUCGGAAUCACUGGGCGUAAAGCGUACGCAGGCGGCUUUGCAAGACAGGUGUGAAAUCCCCGGGCCUAACCUGGGAACUGCAUUUGUGACUGCAUGGCUAGAGUUUGUCAGAGGGGGGUGGAAUUCCACGUGUAGCAGUGAAAUGCGUAGAGAUGUGGAAGAACACCGAUGGCGAAGGCAGCCCCCUGGGAUGUGACUGACGCUCAUGUACGAAAGCGUGGGGAGCAAACAGG